rnacentral:rRNA from 1 species
UACGUAGGGUGCAAGCGUUGCCCGGAUUUAUUGGGCGUAAAGGGUGCGUAGGCGGCGGAGUAAGUUGGGUGUGAAAUCCCGGGGCUCAACCUCGGAAUUGCAUUCAAUACUGCUUCGCUCGAGUACUGGAGAGGAGGCUGGAAUUUACGGUGUAGCAGUGAAAUGCGUAGAUAUCGUAAGGAAGGCCGGUGGCGAAAGCGAGCCUCUGGACAGUUACUGACGCUGAUGCACGAAGGCCAGGGGAGCAAACAGG